UGCUGGCUCGAAGGGCCGAAUGGCCUACUCCUGCACCUAUUGUCUAUUGUCAUUGUCAUACAGUGUUCUGCUAAAGGAGUAACCACUCCGUGUGUGAUUAUAGAUUCUGUGUUUCUAAACAUGGGAGAUGAAAUGAAGAGUUUGUUUUGAGCAGCAAGACAACUAGGUUUAACUUUCCCACUGUGGGAUACUUUUUCCUCUUAAGAAGCACAAGAUAAAAUAAUUUGCGUCUAAAA